AUGAACGCUGGCGGCGUGCCUAAUACAUGCACGUCGAGCGAACAGACGAGGAGCUUGCUCCUUCGACGUUAGCGGCGGACGGGUGAGUAACACGUAGGUAACCUACCUAUAAGACUGGGAUAACUUCGGGAAACCGGAGCUAAUACCGGAUAAUAUUUCGAACCGCAUGGUUCGAUAGUGAAAGAUGGCUUUGCUAUCACUUAUAGAUGGACCUGCGCCGUAUUAGCUAGUUGGUAAGGUAACGGCUUACCAAGGCAACGAUACGUAGCCGACCUGAGAGGGUGAUCGGCCACACUGGAACUGAGACACGGUCCAGACUCCUACGGGAGGCAGCAGUGGGGAAUCUUCCGCAAUGGGCGAAAGCCUGACGGAGCAACGCCGCGUGAGUGAUGAAGGUCUUCGGAUCGUAAAACUCUGUUAUUAGGGAAGAACAAACGUGUAAGUAACUGUGCACGUCUUGACGGUACCUAAUCAGAAAGCCACGGCUAACUACGUG
rnacentral:rRNA from 1 species